rnacentral:lncRNA from 1 species
UCCACAACUAAAACCUGCAAUAAACCAUUCCAACCUAACAGUUCACAGUUUACAAGCACAUAUCUCAAUAAUAACAUUCUAACAAUCACAUAUUCUCAACAACAAACUCAAUAUUCAUCAAUCACAACUUCAACAAAAAAAACACUCACAAUAUCAGCAACACACAAGAUCAAGUUCACCAAAUAGAGGUAAUCAAAUAUCAAGUACUUUCCA